rnacentral:ncRNA from 2 species
UACUAAGGGGGUGAUGGUGUACCACCUAUUUGAACCGCUGCAAAAGCUGAUGACGCCUGCCAAAUA